UUCUAAAAUCCUGUUCAUUUGGACUACACACGUGGACACUCUCUUUGCACAGGUACUUUUCUAUUUUUCCCACAUUUUUUCCUUCUUCUCUUUUUUCUUCUCUUUUUUCACAAACCCUAUCCCCCUUUUCACUCAAUGAUAAUCUCUCCCAAUCAAAGCUGCAGACUCAACUUUUCUGAUUGCUUGCAACUAUGGUUUUGUAAAUUUCAAUACAAACCCUAUCUCUCUUUAGUGUCCUUCAUAAAGUUAAACCAACUUCUUCUUCAUUUCUUUCAUCUCUCUCUCUCAUCUUCUCUCUCUCUCUCGAAAGUCUUUUUUUUUUCUUUUCCUAGCAAAGUUUUCAUUUCUUCCUUUCUCCUCCUCCCUCAUGGCAAGACCGUUCGAGCGCGUUGCCGACAUCAACCACGGUAAGGAUUUGUGGAAGGUGGCGGUUCGAGUUGAGCAUAAAUGGAGUGUUGUUUCCAACAAGAAAGCACACUUUGAAAUGAUUUUCAUUGACAAGGAUAAAGUAUGGAAUCCGAAUUCGAGCGGAUCAACGAUUUAGUUACUUCAAAUAAUUAGACUGAGGAGGUGAUGAGGGAGUAGAUGCUGCCGAUGAAAAAGUAGAAGCAGGAAGUUUGAAACUUUCCAUAUCUGUGGAACUGAUUCUUGUCACCCUAAUGUCAAAGAUACUGUGAGAGUAUGUCCUGAAGCCGGUGUUAAGGUAAUGUAUAUGUGUCAAUAUUUGAUCAGUUAGAUAUCUUAAUAUUUAUAUCAAAAUUCCUCUCUCUGUUUGAUCAUGUUGUUACGGAUUCGAGGCUGAAUUUUAUCAUCCAUUAAGUAACCUAAUCUAUUUCGUGUUCCAGGUAUAUGUUCGAUAAUGGCUGCUAAACUAAGGCACUAUCCAUCUUAGAAUAGUUGGUGACCACCGGUUUUGUGAAAAAUGUUUUCUCUAGAAACGAGUACAAUGUUGUUCCUGAAUCAUCAUUUGUAGAAGAAUAUGACGUUGUUGUGAGUGAUGAUGUGAUGGAACCAAGUUUGCAUAAGUAUGUUACUGUUAAGAGAGGUGGUUCAUUUUCACUUUGUGAGGAUCAAGAGU